GUGAGCUCCUUGGCGCAGCAGUGA
rnacentral:siRNA from 1 species